GCCGAGAUGGCGGAACUGGUAGACGCAAGGGACUUAAAAUCCCUCGGGCUGAUAAAGCCUGUGUGGGUUCGAUUCCCACUCUCGGCA
rnacentral:tRNA from 1 species